rnacentral:rRNA from 1 species
AGAGUUUGAUCAUGGCUCAGGACGAACGCUGGCGGCGUGCUUAACACAUGCAAGUCGAACGGUGAUGAGGAGCUUGCUCCUCUGAUCAGUGGCGAACGGGUGAGUAACACGUGAGCAACCUGCCCCAGACUCUGGGAUAACAGUUGGAAACAGCUGCUAAUACCGGAUACGAGACGGAGAGGCAUCUCUACCGUCUGGAAAGUUUUUCGGUCUGGGAUGGACUCGCGGCCUAUCAGCUAGUUGGUGAAGGUAAUGGCUCACCAAGGCGACGACGGGUAGCCGGNCUUAAAAGGCGACCGGCCACACUGGGACUGAGACACGGCCCAACUCCUACGGGANGGCAGCAGUGGGAAAAUAUUGCACAAUGGGCGAAAAGCCUGAUGCAGCGACGCCGCGUGAGGGAUGACGGCCUUCGGGUUUGUAAACCUCUUUCAGCAGGGAAGAAGCGAAAGUGACGGUACCUGCAGAAUAGCACCGGCUUACUACGUGCCGGCAGGCCGCGGUAAUACGUAGGGUGCAAGCGUUAAUCGGAAUUACUGGGCGUAAAAGCGUGCGCAGGCGGUUCGGAAAGAAAGAUGUGAAAUCCCAGAGCUUAACUUUGGAACUGANUUUUUAACUUCCCGGCUUANAGUGUGUCAANAGGGAGGNGGAAUUCCGCGUGUAGCAAUGGAAACCNCGUANAUNUGCCGGAGGAAACACCGAUUGGCG